rnacentral:tRNA from 1 species
GCCUUCGUGGUGUAGAGGUCAGCACGCUCGACGCGAAACCGAGAGGUCCGGGGGUUCGAUUCCCGGCGAAAGCG